rnacentral:rRNA from 1 species
AUGGACCUUGUCUCUCUCUGUAGACAGAGGAGGAGAGGAGUACCCAGCAGCAGCAGCAGCUCUCUCUGCAAUCAGCAGCCACACCACCACCAGGAUCACUCACUUCAGCUACUCAGUUUAGCUAUGAGAACCUUUUCUAGGCACGCUAGUAUCACGAAGCUUCCCAGUAGCACCAACUCCAACCAGCAGCAGCAGCACAACACCUCCACUUUCUCCAAUAAGCAGAAUCAGCGGCAACUCCAGCUCCAGCAGCACCUCAGCACCAGGACAAAGAUGAAGCCCAGCCGCCGCUCACUAAACCACAGCUCCACGCGCCGCCAUGCCCGCGCACCUCCGUGGCCGCUCAGGAGCAGCCCACGCCGCUGUGCGCAGCACCAUGCCUCCACUGCACUCAGCAGCACCACUACCACACAGUCUGCCCUGGCGCACCUCCCAGCAAGCUCACCGCCAGCCGCUCGACCGAGCUCGCCAGUCGCACACUGCCCCGCCAGAGGACUGCCCCGGACGUCCCCUCCCCCCUUCCCGUCGGGCCCUGCCGUCGCCGAAUACACUCAGUUUCCUACUCAUUUAAUUCUGCAGGUGGAAGCUUCUGAGCAUAAUCUAUAUCUACUGCGCCAUGCUCCAGUAGUGUUUUAG